GUCGGGCGUGGUGGCUCACGCCUGUAAUCCCAGCACUUUGGGAGGCUGAGGCAGGUGGAUCACUUGAGGCCAGGAGUUCGAGACCAGCCUGGCCAACAUGGUGAAACCCCGUCUCUA
rnacentral:SRP_RNA from 1 species